CCAGGAUCUAAUUACUCCCACUGUAUUUAAGUUUCCCAAGCAAGGUUUGGGCUGUAGAGAGGGUCUUGGAGCUCUUCGGAGACACUGGGGCUCCCAGAACAAAUUUGUUUCUCACAGUACUGGUGAAAGGUGCAUUUUCUUCACCAUCCCAGCAGGGGCAAGAAAAAAAUGGACUGAAUCUCAGAAACAUGAUAAAUGCUUUGACAAUGGCUUUGUACUGAAAGAGGCUCCAUGUGUUUCGUAAUGAAAUCAUUUUGCUCGUGAGAAAUACCUGUGAGGAUGACAUAGCAUGCUGCCGCUUAAAGAUGUAAAGUGGAGAUGUGAAGUCAAUGGCAGCUUCAUAGCUUUUUAUUGAAUGUCUUUUGAGCAUGGACUACAUCAGUUUCCUAUGGAGCUUGACAAAGGAGAAAUUUCAGCAUUGAGAAGAACCUCUGGUGUUUUAGAAACAGAAAGCAAC
ensembl:lncRNA